rnacentral:rRNA from 1 species
GUGGGGAAUAUUGGACAAUGGGCGCAAGCCUGAUCCAGCCAUGCCGCGUGAGUGAUGAAGGCCUUAGGGUUGUAAAGCUCUUUCAGUGGGGACGAUAAUGACGGUACCCACAGAAGAAGCCCCGGCUAACUUCGUGCCAGCAGCCGCGGUAAUACGAAGGGGGCUAGCGUUGUUCGGAUUUACUGGGCGUAAAGCGCACGUAGGCGGAUCGUUAAGUCGGGGGUAAAAUCCUGGAGCUCAACUCCAGAACUGCCUUCGAUACUGGCGAUCUUGAGUCCGGAAGAGGUGAGUGGAACUCCUAGUGUAGAGGUGGAAUUCGUAGAUAUUAGGAAGAACACCAGUGGCGAAGGCGGCUCACUGGUCCGGUACUGACGCUGAGGUGCGAAAGCGUGGGGAGCAAACAGGAUUAGAUACCCGGGUAGUCC